rnacentral:rRNA from 1 species
UGUGUGUUAGUGGAAGCGUCUGGAAAGGCGCGCGAUACAGGGUGACAGCCCCGUACACAAAAAUGCACAUGCUGUGAGCUCGAUGAGUAGGGCGGGACACGUGGUAUCCUGUCUGAAUAUGGGGGGACCAUCCUCCAAGGCUAAAUACUCCUGACUGACCGAUAGUGAACCAGUACCGUGAGGGAAAGGCGAAAAGAACCCCGGCGAGGGGAGUGAAAAAGAACCUGAAACCGUGUACGUACAAGCAGUGGGAGCACGCUUAGGCGUGUGACUGCGUACCUUUUGUAUAAUGGGUCAGCGACUUAUAUUCUGUAGCAAGGUUAACCGAAUAGGGGAGCCGAAGGGAAACCGAGUCUUAACUGGGCGUUAAGUUGCAGGGUAUAGACCCGAAACCCGGUGAUCUAGCCAUGGGCAGGUUGAAGGUUGGGUAACACUAACUGGAGGACCGAACCGACUAAUGUUGAAAAAUUAGCGGAUGACUUGUGGCUGGGGGUGAAAGGCCAAUCAAACCGGGAGAUAGCUGGUUCUCCCCGAAAGCUAUUUAGGUAGCGCCUCGUGAAUUCAUCUCCGGGGGUAGAGCACUGUUUCGGCAAGGGGGUCAUCCCGACUUACCAACCCGAUGCAAACUGCGAAUACCGGAGAAUGUUAUCACGGGAGACACACGGCGGGUGCUAACGUCCGUCGUGAAGAGGGAAACAACCCAGACCGCCAGCUAAGGUCCCAAAGUCAUGGUUAAGUGGGAAACGAUGUGGGAAGGCCCAGACAGCCAGGAUGUUGGCUUAGAAGCAGCCAUCAUUUAAAGAAAGCGUAAUAGCUCACUGGUCGAGUCGGCCUGCGCGGAAGAUGUAACGGGGCUAAACCAUGCACCGAAGCUGCGGCAGCGACGCUUAUGCGUUGUUGGGUAGGGGAGCGUUCUGUAAGCCUGUGAAGGUGUGCUGUGAGGCAUGCUGGAGGUAUCAGAAGUGCGAAUGCUGACAUAAGUAACGAUAAAGCGGGUGAAAAGCCCGCUCGCCGGAAGACCAAGGGUUCCUGUCCAACGUUAAUCGGGGCAGGGUGAGUCGACCCCUAAGGCGAGGCCGAAAGGCGUAGUCGAUGGGAAACAGGUUAAUAUUCCUGUACUUGGUGUUACUGCGAAGGGGGGACGGAGAAGGCUAUGUUGGCCGGGCGACGGUUGUCCCGGUUUAAGCGUGUAGGCUGGUUUUCCAGGCAAAUCCGGAAAAUCAAGGCUGAGGCGUGAUGACGAGGCACUACGGUGCUGAAGCAACAAAUGCCCUGCUUCCAGGAAAAGCCUCUAAGCAUCAGGUAACAUCAAAUCGUACCCCAAACCGACACAGGUGGUCAGGUAGAGAAUACCAAGGCGCUUGAGAGAACUCGGGUGAAGGAACUAGGCAAAAUGGUGCCGUAACUUCGGGAGAAGGCACGCUGAUAUGUAGGUGAAGUCCCUCGCGGAUGGAGCUGAAAUCAGUCGAAGAUACCAGCUGGCUGCAACUGUUUAUUAAAAACACAGCACUGUGCAAACACGAAAGUGGACGUAUACGGUGUGACGCCUGCCCGGUGCCGGAAGGUUAAUUGAUGGGGUCAGCGCAAGCGAAGCUCUUGAUCGAAGCCCCGGUAAACGGCGGCCGUAACUAUAACGGUCCUAAGGUAGCGAAAUUCCUUGUCGGGUAAGUUCCGACCUGCACGAAUGGCGUAAUGAUGGCCAGGCUGUCUCCACCCGAGACUCAGUGAAAUUGAACUCGCUGUGAAGAUGCAGUGUACCCGCGGCAAGACGGAAAGACCCCGUGAACCUUUACUAUAGCUUGACACUGAACAUUGAGCCUUGAUGUGUAGGAUAGGUGGGAGGCUU